AUCAAAAUUUGACAUAUAUGCUAAUGAGUUAAUGGAUUAGAUAACAGCAUACAUGAAAAUUUCAUAAUUGAUUCGGAUCUACAUAUCUUAAUACGAAAAUUUAAUGGAUUGUAUUUAGAUUAAGAAAAUUUAAUAUGAACACGACACAAUAUCAUAAGAUACAAAUAUUAGGAAGAAAAAAAAGAUAAAGAAAAGGGACCACAAUAGAAAGGAGACAACAUUAGAAAUGCAUUCCAUAAGGGAAAGAAAUAGAGAGAAGUGAGAUAAUGGAUAAUAUUUAAUGAUUUUUUUAGUAUUUAAGCUCAUUUAAGAAUUUUUUUUUUUUUUUUUUUUUGUAAAUUUUGUUAGAGUACUAAAAAAUAUUAAAAUUAUAAUACCCGAAACAUAUUUUACAAUGUAAAUACAACUGCUUUUUAUUUUUCAUUUUCAAAGGGAAAAACAAUUAAAGUUAAUUCAUCGGGUUUAGAAAAGUCAUACAAUUGGACAAAAUGUUGCCCAAAAGUCAAAAAGCCCAGUCCAUUUUCCAAUGUCCACGACCCAAAAGGAAACAAAUCCUCAUGGCCCAUUUUCCAUUGAUUUUGUUGGGUCAAUAAAAAUUCUAUUUAGGGGAGUAUGGCCCAAUACCCCGCUUUUGAAAGCGUUAAUAAAAAUUACCCUUUCCGUUUUGAAUUUUUUUUAUCUACCCAUCUCUUUUUCAUUAUUCCAACUAUACUCUUUUUCUUAUCUUAUUUCUAUCCCACAGUCCACAUUUCAUGCUGAAUGUCCAGCCCACCACCUGAUUGAUGUCCUGCUUGUCUUUGUUGACUGGCUCUUCCUCUACUUUUCCCGUGACUACUCCCUCGUUCUGCUCGGUUUCGCCAUCGUCGACUGAUUCAUCGUGGUGGGGACUCGGGGUGGUCACUGUCGUGUCUCUUUUGCUGGUGGGAGUGUGGGUCAUGGAUGAAAAUAAAGCAGGGGUAAGCUAACUUUUGUGCAACUGAUGAAGGCACUUGCAGAAUAUUUCAGCACAUCUUCGUUCAUGAGAGAAAAGCAUGGAAAUGUGACUAAAGAGCAUCCCUUUUCUUCUGACUGGUUUUGGACGGUCGAAAUAGAAAUGGGAUAAGAAUCAUUCAGUUUGUAAUUGAUAGUUAUGUGAUCCAGCUUCUGUGGAACGGAUCUUACAAUUUUUAGGAAAUUGAAGCAGGAGGUGUUUUUUCCAAUGAGCUUAUGGGUUUUUCGGGGAAAAAGGAUCAAAGAGAGCAGAGGUAUGGAAGGUCUUUUAUAAUGGUUGUUAAGGGAAAAAGUAAUUUUUUAUUUUUAUUGGGGGCAAAAUUGAAAUUAAGGGGUAUAUUAAAAAAAUCUGGAAAGGAGAGGAUAGAUUUCAUUACCCACUUAUUUUGAUGGCUAUUGGGCCAAAUUAUCCUUCUAUUUAUUUGGUUUACCACUGUUAUUUUAUGGCAUGACGAUGAUUGUCCACGCCAUGCAUCUUUUCCACGGCAGAUCAGGAUGUAAUUUAGUUUUCAUGCAUGUAAUUUUAUUUUUUUAUGACUAAUCAUGAGACAAAUGUUGUUAAUAGUGAAUACACGUAUCAAUAAUAAUAAUUAGAGAAAGUUACAAAAUAUCUUUCUAUUCUUGUC